rnacentral:lncRNA from 1 species
CACAGCUGACGCAGCGUCUCCGCACGUGGCCCGCUGGCCACGUUCAGUCGCUGAGUGCUUAUGAGCAGUGCUUCUCUGUGUGAACGGCAAGGAGAAUUAUGCUUCUCUACCUGUUCAGCUCAAGUGCAUCCACAUCACUUUUUUAUGAAGGAUAAUGAGACUAGUAUGUGCAGUGCCAUGUUCAAUGUUCCCUCUGCCCCUGAAGCUCUUGAUGCUCUUGGUGGUGAUUGGACUGUCAGUCCACAGAGUGACGACGAUGUCAGCACAGACUAGAGCCUUGACUGAUGAUCACACAACAGGGAACAGGUAGAAACCUUUCUUUCUUUAAGCCACUGAGCUUUGGUGGUUAUUUUUU